rnacentral:tRNA from 1 species
GGAGAAAUGCCAGAGUGGUUGAAUGGGACGGUCUCGAAAACCGUUUGACGCGAAAGUGUCACCAGGGUUCGAAUCCCUGUUUCUCCG